GACGAACGCUGGCGGCGUGCUUAACACAUGCAAGUCGAGCGGAAAGGCCCUUCGGGGUACUCGAGCGGCGAACGGGUGAGUAACACGUGAGUAAUCUGCCCUUGGCUUUGGGAUAUCUACCGGAAACGGUGGCUAAUACCGGAUACGACAACCGUCUGCAUGGGCUGGUUGUGGAAUGUUUUUUCGGCCAGGGAUGUGCUCGCGGCCUAUCAGCUUGUUGGUGGGGUAAUGGCCUACCAAGGCUUCGACGGGUAGCCGGCCUGAGAGGGUGACCGGCCACACUGGGACUGAGACACGGCCCAGACUCCUACGGGAGGCAGCAGUGGGGAAUAUUGGACAAUGGGCGGAAGCCUGAUCCAGCAACGCCGCGUGAGGGAUGACGGCCUUCGGGUUGUAAACCUCUUUCAGUACCGACGAAGCGCCGAUGAUGGUGGUGACGGUAGGUACAGAAGAAGCACCGGCCAACUACGUG
rnacentral:rRNA from 1 species